GGGGCCAUAGCUCAGCUGGUAGAGCACCUGCAUGGCAUGCAGGGGGUCAGCGGUUCGAGUCCGCUUGGCUCCAUCA
rnacentral:tRNA from 3 species